AUCGUAACUCCUACGGGAGGCAGCAGUGGGGAAUUUUGGACAAUGGGGGCAACCCUGAUCCAGCAAUGCCGCGUGAGUGAAGAAGGCCUUCGGGUUGUAAAGCUCUUUUGUCAGGGAAGAAACGGUAGUAGCUAAUAUCUAUUACUAAUGACGGUACCUGAAGAAUAAGCACCGGCUAACUACGUGCCAGCAGCCGCGGUAAUACGUAGGGUGCAAGCGUUAAUCGGAAUUACUGGGCGUAGAGCGUGCGCAGGCGGUUGUGUAAGUCAGAUGUGAAAUCCCCGGGCUCAACCUGGGAAUUGCAUUUGAGACUGCACGGUUAGAGUGUGCCAGAGGGGGGUAGAAUUCCACGUGUAGCAGUGAAAUGCGUAGAUAUGUGGAGGAAUACCGAUGGCGAAGGCAGCCCCCGGGGAUAACACUGACGCUCAUGCACGAAAGCGUGGGGAGCAAACAGGAUUAGAAACCCCGGUAGUCCUAGAGC
rnacentral:rRNA from 1 species